AUUAAGAUUUAUUUAAUAUAUAAUCUGCUCAAUGAGAAUUUAAAUAGCUGCAGUAUUUUGACUGUGCAAAGGUAGCAUAAUAAUUAGUCUUUUAAUUGAGGACUGGGAUGAAAGAUUUGAUGAGAAAUAGGCUUUAUUAUUUAUAAAGUUAAAAUUUUAUUUUUAAGUAAAAAGGCUUAAAUUAUUUAAAGGGACGAUAAGACCCUAUAAAACUUUAUAAAUAUUAAAUUUUAAAUUUUUUGGGUUUAUGAAUAUUUUAAUUUUAUUAUUUAUUUUAUUGGGGUGAUAAAAAAAAAUUGAACUUUUUUUAAAUUUAACAUUAAUUAAUGAAUUAUUGAAUUAAAAUUUUUAAUUAAAGGAAAAAGUUACUUUAGGGAUAACAGCGUAAUUAAUUUUUUAAGUUCAAAUUUGAAAAUUAGUUUGCGACCUCGAUGUUGAAUUAAGAUUAAGCUUAGGUGCAGAAUUUUAAGUUUUAGGUCUGUUCGACCUUUAAAAUCUUACGUGA
rnacentral:rRNA from 1 species